GCUGAUUGGUUACUUUGGGGUAUGGACAGGCUGGCUGGAGCUGUAAAGAGGAAGGCAGCCACGACCAUGCAUCUAGACUGAUCUGUGGACAGAUACAAAGGAGCCUAAGAAGAACCAAUCAAAGCUCAGCCUUGGUUUGAAUUAAAGUGAGCCAGCUUAGCUCAUCCAAUCAGCACACAUCACUCAGAUCACAACAAGACCAACUCAUCCUCACCAUCCAUUCCUCUUAAGUUAUUUCUAUCCAUUAGAUAUAGGUUUAUGAGUUUGCAAGAGUGUAAAACCUAUAUAAAGACCUCAUGGGCAUUUGUAACUCUCUUAAGAGAGUAUGGGGGUUUUCCCAUCUCCUUCAUAAUUAUAAUAGUGUGUUCUUGAUCAGAUUCCCUUAAUCUACCCCUUUCUUAGUCUCUAAUCUCUUAAUCUCUCUAAGUCUCUUUGUUUCUGAUUCAAGUUCAUACUAGUUUCAUCAGACCUCUUAUUCAACUAGUUCAAGACCUUAUCAUUGCCUUUAAUGGCUUUUCUUACACAUACACAGCCAGAGCUCUCAAAUCUCAUAGGGAUGAUGUGAGCUUGACUGAACCAGUAGCUGAUCUUGCGUAUGAAGAGCUGGAAGAGAGUGACAGUGAAGAGGAGCUGGAUGGGAGUUCAAUUGGAUUUAACUCAGCACGUACGAGACCCAUUCUCUUUCUCCAAUGGGCCAAUAACCAGAUCAAAGACAAGACAAUUGAAG
rnacentral:lncRNA from 1 species